UACGAAGGGGGCUAGCGUUGCUCGGAAUCACUGGGCGUAAAGCGCACGUAGGCGGACUCUUAAGUCGGUGGUGAAAUCCUGGAGCUCAACUCCAGAACUGCCUUCGAUACUGGGAGUCUCGAGUCCGGGAGAGGUGAGUGGAACUGCGAGUGUAGAGGUGAAAAUUCGUAGAUAUUCGCAAGAACACCAGUGGCGAAGGCGGCUCACUGGCCCGGUACUGACGCUGAGGUGCGAAAGCGUGGGGAGCAACAGG
rnacentral:rRNA from 1 species